rnacentral:misc_RNA from 1 species
GAUAAAAAGCUUAACACCUCUCAUUCUUAUUACUUUUUCAUAUUGAAAAAAAAUAAAAAUGAAAAGGUCGUGUCUUAUUCAAAACCCCAAUUAUGAAAUCCCUUCUAUCCCACUUCACACCCCGGAACGCACCGUUCUUAUAGAGAGAAAGGCACUUUCACAUCUUCUUAAAUCCCGAAAUGCGCUGGGGAGAGGAAAGGUUCCUUUUUUUGUAGGGUACUCCUGGGAACAGAUCCAGUGGAGACGGGGUG